ensembl:lncRNA
CCUCGGCCUCCCUGUAGUUUACCUGGCCCUGUAAUCUGUGUGUUUGAUUGUCUGUGGAGGGGACGAGACGCCAGCAGGAGUUCACACUAAGGACGCACACUUCGGCCUUCACCUCUGUCAACCAAUGGAAACACAAUAUCAAGGGGCCAGAAUGGACAAGAAUGGGAAUACAAGUAAAACAAGACUCAACUGGUUUUCUGCCUUUGCGAAGAACAACCAUUGCAUACUGGUUCAGCCAAUAAUACGUUUCCCAUGAAUGAGUGUUAUGUCACUAAGUGUUUUGACAGUUGAGUCCUUUGUGGAGUCCAUUACAGCAAUGUGGAUUUUCCCAGGAUGGACCGGGAUCUCGGAAAGGGACAUUUGCAAUAUAAAGACGAUGCUGGAUUCAAAUCUAUACAUUCACCAAUAGAAUCACAAAAACAAUCCAAAACAUUUCACUAGUACACUUUGGCCUAAAACAUGGUUUUUGGGCCCCACUGUUUACUCCAUCUUGUUUGUUAUAUGGGAAGUAAUAUUUAUUCAAGGCAGACAAUAGCUUUGGAGUGUAUAGUCAAGGUUGGAGGUGAAAAAAUAAAAGUAAUAGUGAAUUGCUCUUCGCGGUAGCUUUCCUGUAUAAUGUUACGAUACAAAUCGAGGACUGUUAGCCAUAUGCCUUCAAUUUUCUCAGUGUGCUCUGUAUUGCUACUGUGUGAAGAGACAAACACUUACAUGAGCUGGUUGCUGCUAUUCCCCCGACACAUUGAGAACGACGCACACAAACACACACAUACACACCAAACACUCAGACACACACACCCAAAUGGACACAAACCUGUAGAGAGCUUAAUUUGGUUCCACACUGCCUGGAUGUGUUUUUUUAAAUGAGCCCCAACAUGUCAGGGGAAGGUUAUUCAUGGCACUAUUUGUGUGAUUGCGCUGUGUUAUAUUAAACAUGAC